ensembl:lncRNA
GUGUGUGUGUGUGUGUGUGUGUGUGUGUGGAGCCCAGUGGUCAGUAUUAGAGGUGUGUAUGUGUGUGUGUGUGUGUGUGUGUGUGUGUGUGUGUGUGGAGCCCAGUGGUCAGUAUUAGAGAUGUAAUGUUCAAUGUCGUGCAUGAAUGGGUGAAUGAAUGUAUCAAUUUGUUAGGUAAAUUAAUAAGAAAGUGAGAGCUAAAGAAAUAGAAAGGGGGACAGAUUUAGAAAGAAGUCAAAGCGCCCGUGUGAGAGAGAAUAUCAAUGUAGUGCCUACAAGUACCGGAAAGAAGUGCCUCCUG